rnacentral:rRNA from 1 species
CUGGUUGAUCCUGCCAGAGGCUACUGCUAUCGGGGUCCGAUUAAGCCAUGCGAAUUGAGAGGGGUAAGCCCUCGGCAUAUUGCUCAGUAACACGCGGAUAACCUGCCCUUGGGUUCGGGAUAACCCCGGGAAACUGGGACUAAUACCGGAUAGAUCAAAGAAACUGGAAUGUUCUCUGGUUUAAAACUCUGGUGCCCAAGGAUGGGUCUGCGGCCUAUCAGGUAGUAGUGGGUGUAACGUACCUACUAGCCUGCGACGGGUAAGGGUUGUGAGAGCAAGAGCCCUGAGAUGGAUUCUGAGACAUGAAUCCAGGCCCUACGGGGUGCAGCAGGCGCGAAAACUUUACACUGCGGGAAACCGCGAUAAGGGGACCCCGAGUGCCAGCACCUAGUGCUGGCUGUCCAGCUGUCCAAAUAACAGUUGUUAGCAAGGGCCGGGCAAGACCGGUGCCAGCCGCCGCGGUAACACCGGCGGCCCGAGUGGUAGCCGUUAUUAUUGGGUUUAAAGGGUCCGUAGCCGGCCUAUUAAGUCUCUUGGGAACUCUGGCGACUCAAUCGUCAGUCGUCCAAGAGAUACUGGUAGGCUUGGGACCGGGAGAGGUGGGAGGUACUCCAGGGGUGGGGGUGAAAUCUCGUAAUCCUUGGGGGACCACCGAUGGCGAAGGCAUCCCACCAGAACGGGUCCGACGGUGAGGGACGAAAGCUGGGGGCACGAACCGGAUUAGAUACCCGGGUAGUCCCAGCCGUAAACGAUGCUCGCUAGGUGUCAGGUGCGGUGCGACCGCAUCUGGUGCCGCAGUGAAAGCUUGAAGCGAGUCACCUGGGAAGUACGGUCGCAAGGCUGAAACUUAAAGGAAUUGGCGGGGGAGCACUACAACGGGUGGAGCCUGCGGUUCAAUUGGAUUCAACGCCGGA